rnacentral:rRNA from 1 species
AUUGAACGCUGGCGGCAGGCCUAACACAUGCAAGUCGAACGAGUGGCGGACGGGUGAGUAAUGUCUGGGAAACUGCCCGAUGGAGGGGGAUAACUACUGGAAACGGUAGCUAAUACCGCAUACCAUCGGAUGUGCCCAGAUGGGAUUAGCUAGUGGGUGGGGUAAAGGCUCACCUGGGCGACGAUCCCUAGCUGGUCGGAGAGGAUGACCAGCCACACUGGAACUGAGACACGGUCCAGACUCCUACGGGAGGCAGCAGUGGGGAAUAUUGCACAAUGGGCGCAAGCCUGAUGCAGCCAUGCCGCGUGUAUGAAGAAGGCCUUCGGGUUGUAAAGCACUUUCAGCGAGGAGGCGUUACUCGCAGAAGAAGCACCGGCUAACUCCGUGCCAGCCGCCGCGGUAAUUC